rnacentral:rRNA from 1 species
GUCCACGCCGUAAACGAUGAGUGCUAGGUGCUGCGGGUAUUGACCCCUGCGGUGCCGUAGCUAACGCGUUAAGCACUCCGCCUGGGGAGUACGGCCGCAAGGCUAAAACUCAAAGGAAUUGACGGGGCCCGCACAAGCGGUGGAGCAUGUGGUUCAAUUCGACGCAACGCGCAGAACCUUACCUGGGUUAAAUCCACUUGAACCUUCUAGAGAUAGAGGGGUGCGACUUCGGUCGAGCAAGUGAGACGGUGCUGCAUGGCUGUCGU